AUUGAACGCUGGCGGCAUGCCUUACACAUGCAAGUCGAACGGUAACGCGGGGCAACCUGGCGACGAGUGGCGAACGGGUGGGUAAAGUAUCGGAACGUGCCCUGUAGUGGGGGAUAGCCCGGCGAAAGCCGGAUUAAUACCGCAUGAGACCUGAGGGUGAAAGCGGGGGAUCGCAAGACCUCGCGCUAUUGGAGCGGCCGAUAUCAGAUUAGGUAGUUGGUGGGGUAAAGGCCUACCAAGCCGACGAUCUGUAGCUGGUCUGAGAGGACGACCAGCCACACUGGGACUGAGACACGGCCCAGACUCCUACGGGAGGCAGUAGUGGGGAAUUUUGGACAAUGGGCGCAAGCCUGAUCCAGCCAUGCCGCGUGCGGGAAGAAGGCCUUCGGGUUGUAACCGCUUUGUCAGGGAAGAAAUCUUCUGGGCUAAUACCUCGGGAGGAGUGACGGUACCAUCAG
rnacentral:rRNA from 1 species